rnacentral:rRNA from 1 species
AUUGAACGCUGGCGGCAUGCCUUACACAUGCAAGUCGAACGGCAGCACGGGUGCUUGCACCUGGUGGCGAGUGGCGAACGGGUGAGUAAUACAUCGGAACGUACCUUAUCGUGGGGGAUAACGCAGCGAAAGCUGUGCUAAUACCGCAUACGCCCUGAGGGGGAAAGCGGGGGAUCGAAAGACCUCGCGCGAUUAGAGCGGCCGAUGCCUGAUUAGCUUGUUGGUGGGGUAAAAGCCCACCAAGGCGACGAUCAGUAGCUGGUCUGAGAGGACGAUCAGCCACACUGGGACUGAGACACGGCCCAGACUCCUACGGGAGGCAGCAGUGGGGAAUUUUGGACAAUGGGGGCAACCCUGAUCCAGCAAUGCCGCGUGAGUGAAGAAGGCCUUCGGGUUGUAAAGCUCUUUUGUCAGGGAAGAAACGCGCUGUGCUAAUACCGCGGCGUAAUGACGGUACCGUAAGAAUAAGCACCGGCUAACUACGUGCCAGCCGCCGCCGUAA